rnacentral:rRNA from 1 species
AGAGUUUGAUCAUGGCUCAGGAUGAACGCUGGCGGCGUGCCUAAUACAUGCAAGUCGAGCGAACAGAUAAGGAGCUUGCUCCUUUGACGUUAGCGGCGGACGGGUGAGUAACACGUGGGUAACCUACCUAUAAGACUGGAAUAACUCCGGGAAACCGGGGCUAAUGCCGGAUAACAUUUAGAACCGCAUGGUUCUAAAGUGAAAGAUGGUUUUGCUAUCACUUAUAGAUGGACCCGCGCCGUAUUAGCUAGUUGGUAAGGUAACGGCCUACCAAGGCAACGAUACGUAGCCGACCUGAGAGGGUGAUCGGCCACACUGGAACUGAGACACGGUCCAGACUCCUACGGGAGGCAGCAGUAGGGAAUCUUCCGCAAUGGGCGAAAGCCUGACGGAGCAACGCCGCGUGAGUGAUGAAGGUCUUCGGAUCGUAAAACUCUGUCAUUAGGGAAGAACAAAUGUGUAAGUAACUAUGCACGUCUUGACGGUACCUAAUCAGAAAGCCACGGCUAACUACGUGCCAGCAGCCGCGGUAAUACGUAGGUGGCAAGCGUUAUCCGGAAUUAUUGGGCGUAAAGCGCGCGUAGGCGGUUUCUUAAGUCUGAUGUGAAAGCCCACGGCUCAACCGUGGAGGGUCAUUGGAAACUGGGAAACUUGAGUGCAGAAGAGGAAAGUGGAAUUCCAUGUGUAGCGGUGAAAUGCGCAGAGAUAUGGGGGAACACCAGUGGCGAAGGCGACUUUCUGGUCUGUAACUGACGCUGAUGUGCGAAAGCGUGGGGAUCAAA